AAGUUCGAUGGCGACCGGCGCACGGGUGAGUAACACGUAUCCAACCUGCCGAUGACUCGGGGAUAGCCUUUCGAAAGAAAGAUUAAUACCCGAUGGCAUAGUUCUUCCGCAUGGUGGAACUAUUAAAGAAUUUCGGUCAUCGAUGGGGAUGCGUUCCAUUAGGUUGUUGGCGGGGUAACGGCCCACCAAGCCUUCGAUGGAUAGGGGUUCUGAGAGGAAGGUCCCCCACAUUGGAACUGAGACACGGUCCAAACUCCUACGGGAGGCAGCAUG
rnacentral:rRNA from 1 species